UAUCUCUCCGUACGGGGAAGGAUGAGAAGCUUCGACUAAGGUUCGAUUCGAGCGCAGCCAGAAAGCGUUGCCGUAGGCAACGACCCGAAGGGCGAAGCGCGCAGCGCUGAGUCAUCCUUCCCCCACCACCA
rnacentral:sRNA from 1 species